UACGUAGGGCGCAAGCGUUGUCCGGAAUUAUUGGGCGUAAAGGGCUCGUAGGCGGUUUGUCGCGUCGGGAGUGAAAACACGGGGCUUAACCCCGUGCCUGCUUCCGAUACGGGCAGACUAGAGGUAUGCAGGGGAGAACGGAAUUCCUGGUGUAGCGGUGAAAUGCGCAGAUAUCAGGGGGAACACCGGUGGCGAAGGCGGUUCUCUGGGCAUUACCUGACGCUGAGGAGCGAAAGUGUGGGGAGCGAACAGG
rnacentral:rRNA from 1 species